rnacentral:rRNA from 1 species
UACGAAGGGGGCUAGCGUUGUUCGGAUUUACUGGGCGUAAAGCGCACGUAGGCGGAUCUUUAAGUCAGAGGUGAAAUCCCAAGGCUCAACCUUGGAACUGCCUUUGAUACUGGGGAUCUUGAGUCCGGGAGGGGGUAGCGGAAUUCCCAGUGUAGCGGUGAAAUGCGUAGAUAUUGGGAGGAACACCAGUGGCGAAGGCGGCUACCUGGACCGGUUCUGACGCUGAUGCGCGAAAGCGUGGGUAGCAAACAGG